CUCUCAGAUGAUGUCACACAAUCUCUUUUUGACUUGUGUAUUCUCUCAGAUCUCCGCCCGGUUUUUUGGAGGGAGAGGAGGAAGACAGACCGCAAGGAACAAAGUGGGAGUCCAUCGAUCUCCAGCACCUUCUGUGGUGUCAGCUGGCCCAGCACCUGAAGAGGAGGGGAAGACGCCUCGAGCCUGGAGUACCAGGAGAAGGGAGCGGGACUUGGGAACCCCAAAGAAGAAUUGAGCCCUGGUAGAGCAGGGCGCAGUCCCCACCUCCCACUCUAAUCACCUCUUCCUCCUUCCCGCCCGCUCGCCCACUCACUUGCAGGGCUCCCAAGUUUUCCAUCAGCUGCUCCAUGUUGGACACUUCCAGCAGGACAGAGCUGACAGCCUCACUGCGGAGACACCAGGCUAGGGUGAAAAGAGGAGGGAAGAGAAGAAAGCCCAAAGGAGGGAAAGAGUGAGGACCUGGAGACUCUCCUUCAGUGGAGCCUUCUCUUGGGCACAUAAACAUUUUCUAUGGGUAGUUCUUUUAAGAUUAUAAAUUUCAGAGCAUUGACAAGUGUGUAUAGGUAGGGGGUGUUUCCUGGUUCAAAAUCUCCUACACCUGAAAUCGCAGUUUUGGGGCCCCCUAUCCUUCAAAACACAUCAACCAAUAAAGGCGUGUGAUAUAGCUCAUAGUGUUAGCUAGACUUUAGGAAGACUUCAAAUGCUGCCUCUCAGUGUCUCAUGCAACUCACUGGGGUUAGAAUUUUACAGACCAGGUACCAAUCUGCAUAAGGGGAGUGAGUUUCCACACCAGAAAUUUCCUAAAAGAAUGAAAUAUAGCUUGACCAAAAUGGCAAGUAAUUGUUGUGAAGACCAAGUGAGAUCAUUUGAGUAAAGCUAUUUUUAAAUCUUAAAGUGCUAUUUAAAUCUAGCCAUUAUAAUUACAUAUAUUUACAUAUAUUUCCUUUCCCCCAUCCCAAACUAAAAUAAAAUCGUGUGAUAAAUUAUGAUAAAACUCUUUGAAGGCAGA